rnacentral:rRNA from 1 species
GACGAACGCGGCGGCGUGCCUAAUACAUGCAAGUCGAGCGAAGUUUUUCUGGUGCUUGCACUAGAAAAACUUAGCGGCGAACGGGUGAGUAACACGUAAAGAACCUGCCUCAUAGACUGGGACAACUAUUGGAAACGAUAGCUAAUACCGGAUAACAGCAUUAACUGCAUGGUUGAUGUUUGAAAGUUGGUUUUGCUAACACUAUGAGAUGGCUUUGCGGUGCAUCAGCUAGUUGGUGGGGUAAAGGCCUACCAAGGCGACGAUGCAUAGCCGACCUGAGAGGGUGAUCGGCCACACUGGGACUGAGACACGGCCCAGACUCCUACGGGAGGCAGCAGUAGGGAAUCUUCCGCAAUGGGCGAAAGCCUGACGGAGCAACGCCGCGUGAGUGAAGAAGGAUUUCGGUUCGUAAAGCUCUGUUGUUAGGGAAGAAUGAUUGUGUAGUAACUAUACACAGAGAGACGGACCU